rnacentral:rRNA from 1 species
AUACAGGGUGACAGCCCCGUACACAAAAAUGCACAUAUUGUGAGCUCGAUGAGUAGGGCGGGACACGUGGUAUCCUGUCUGAAUAUGGGGGGACCAUCCUCCAAGGCUAAAUACUCCUGACUGACCGAUAGUGAACCAGUACCGUGAGGGAAAGGCGAAAAGAACCCCGGCGAGGGGAGUGAAAAAGAACCUGAAACCGUGUACGUACAAGCAGUGGGAGCCUCUUUUAUGGGGUGACUGCGUACCUUUUGUAUAAUGGGUCAGCGACUUAUAUUCUGUAGCAAGGUUAACCGAAUAGGGGAGCCGAAGGGAAACCGAGUCUUAACUGGGCGUUAAGUUGCAGGGUAUAGACCCGAAACCCGGUGAUCUAGCCAUGGGCAGGUUGAAGGUUGGGUAACACUAACUGGAGGACCGAACCGACUAAUGUUGAAAAAUUAGCGGAUGACUUGUGGCUGGGGGUGAAAGGCCAAUCAAACCGGGAGAUAGCUGGUUCUCCCCGAAAGCUAUUUAGGUAGCGCCUCGUGAAUUCAUCUCCGGGGGUAGAGCACUGUUUCGGCAAGGGGGUCAUCCCGACUUACCAACCCGAUGCAAACUGCGAAUACCGGAGAAUGUUAUCACGGGAGACACACGGCGGGUGCUAACGUCCGUCGUGAAGAGGGAAACAACCCAGACCGCCAGCUAAGGUCCCAAAGUCAUGGUUAAGUGGGAAACGAUGUGGGAAGGCCCAGACAGCCAGGAUGUUGGCUUAGAAGCAGCCAUCAUUUAAAGAAAGCGUAAUAGCUCACUGGUCGAGUCGGCCUGCGCGGAAGAUGUAACGGGGCUAAACCAUGCACCGAAGCUGCGGCAGCGACGCUUAUGCGUUGUUGGGUAGGGGAGCGUUCUGUAAGCCUGUGAAGGUGUGCUGUGAGGCAUGCUGGAGGUAUCAGAAGUGCGAAUGCUGACAUAAGUAACGAUAAAGCGGGUGAAAAGCCCGCUCGCCGGAAGACCAAGGGUUCCUGUCCAACGUUAAUCGGGGCAGGGUGAGUCGACCCCUAAGGCGAGGCCGAAAGGCGUAGUCGAUGGGAAACAGGUUAAUAUUCCUGUACUUGGUGUUACUGCGAAGGGGGGACGGAGAAGGCUAUGUUGGCCGGGCGACGGUUGUCCCGGUUUAAGCGUGUAGGCUGGUUUUCCAGGCAAAUCCGGAAAAUCAAGGCUGAGGCGUGAUGACGAGGCACUACGGUGCUGAAGCAACAAAUGCCCUGCUUCCAGGAAAAGCCUCUAAGCAUCAGGUAACAUCAAAUCGUACCCCAAACCGACACAGGUGGUCAGGUAGAGAAUACCAAGGCGCUUGAGAGAACUCGGGUGAAGGAACUAGGCAAAAUGGUGCCGUAACUUCGGGAGAAGGCACGCUGAUAUGUAGGUGAAGUCCCUCGCGGAUGGAGCUGAAAUCAGUCGAAGAUACCAGCUGGCUGCAACUGUUUAUUAAAAACACAGCACUGUGCAAACACGAAAGUGGACGUAUACGGUGUGACGCCUGCCCGGUGCCGGAAGGUUAAUUGAUGGGGUUAGCGCAAGCGAAGCUCUUGAUCGAAGCCCCGGUAAACGGCGGCCGUAACUAUAACGGUCCUAAGGUAGCGAAAUUCCUUGUCGGGUAAGUUCCGACCUGCACGAAUGGCGUAAUGAUGGCCAGGCUGUCUCCACCCGAGACUCAGUGAAAUUGAACUCGCUGUGAAGAUGCAGUGUACCCGCGGCAAGACGGAAAGACCCCGUGAACCUUUACUAUAGCUUGACACUGAACAUUGAGCCUUGAUGUGUAGGAUAGGUGGGAGGCUUAGAAGUGUGGACGCCAGUCUGCAUGGAGCCGACCUUGAAAUACCACCCUUUAAUGUUUGAUGUUCUAACGUGGACCCGUAAUCCGGGUUGCGGACAGUGUCUGGUGGGUAGUUUGACUGGGGCGGUCUCCUCCUAAAGAGUAACGGAGGAGCACGAAGGUUGGCUAAUCCUGGUCGGACAUCAGGAGGUUAGUGCAAUGGCAUAAGCCAGCUUGACUGCGAGCGUGACGGCGCGAGCAGGUGCGAAAGCAGGUCAUAGUGAUCCGGUGGUUCUGAAUGGAAGGGCCAUCGCUCAACGGAUAAAAGGUACUCCGGGGAUAACAGGCUGAUACCGCCCAAGAGUUCAUAUCGACGGCGGUGUUUGGCACCUCGAUGUCGGCUCAUCACAUCCUGGGGCUGAAGUAGGU